UACGUAGGUGGCGAGCGUUAUCCGGAUUUACUGGGUGUAAAGGGUGUGUAGGCGGAAAGGCAAGUCAGGUGUGAAAUUUACGGGCUCAACCCGUGAACUGCGCCUGAAACUGUCUUCCUUGAGUGUCGGAGGGGCAAAUGGAAUUCCAAGUGUAGCGGUGAAAUGCGUAGAUAUUUGGAGGAACACCGGUGGCGAAGGCGGUUUGCUGGACGACAACUGACGCUGAUACACGAAAGUGUGGGGAGCAAACAGGAUUAGAUACC
rnacentral:rRNA from 1 species